rnacentral:lncRNA from 1 species
UUGAAGUUGUCUCAUGCCACCUUUCGUUGACUUACUUUCAACGUGGCACGUAUCUUUUCAGUCUAUCUUUGAGUUUCAACGAAACUACAGUCUCCCGAAGGAAACCAAAACAUUCGAGGUGUUCAAUCAUUUUCUGAUUCGUCAUUCUCAAGCAUCUAGGUUAUAGGGAUACCCUAUAAAUCCAUCAAUCUAUGUUCUUUUGCAAAUGUGAUCAUGUAAC